CAUCUAAACACCAGCUUGAAGAUGCAUAGUUCUUAGAGAGCACCACGAUCGAGAUCCUCGAUUCCCUAAUGGCUCGUAUGAGUUCAGGGGCAAUAGUUUGGCCUCUCUCGAUCCCUUGAUCGUCGAACAUCGAAAUCCCAUUGUUGUUGAACUGUUUACGUAAAUGACUGAGAAAGGUUUUACGGACGUCUGGUCCAUGGAAGCUCGUGAAGACGCGGUAUCUCCAUGUGCGUGGCCGAGAAGAAGAAGAAGAGGAAGAAGCCAUGAGAGAGGAUAAGUCGUUUGUGGAUGGAGAAAAUUGCAAAUGGAAAUGACAACAGUUGUUGAGUGAUAUAGAGACUGAGAAAUGUCAAAGUUUGAAAAGUAAACGAAAUUUUUAUUGCAAACAAAAUUAGAGAAAAGAAAAAUGUCAGACACUCAAAUUAAUAUAUGAUUUUUAUAAAGCUGUAUACGAACGAAGGACAAGCAGCAGCUAGAUGGGCUCCCGGCAACAAGUGGGCUUGGCUAUAUUAACGCAAACGACGUGUAAUGAGAGAAACAAAAGAGAUUAGAACAUGUCUUUAGUGAGAUGUUCCGUAGGGGAUUAAUUCCUGAUACAUUCUUAUUCAAUGCAUUUGUCAAAGAAGUCAAGAAGGAAAGUUUUAUGGGCUGGAGAACUAUACGAUGAGGUGCAUGCAAGCAUAAUCGUCUUGAUGAUAGGAAGUGCAUGUUUGAUUUAAUGGUAUCAGCAAGGGCUGCUCUCCUAAUGUUGUCACUCUCAAUAUCCUAAUAGACGGAUGUUGUAAGGCUAAAAGGGUCGAUGAUGUGAUUAAACUUCUCCAUGAGAUAUCUACAACAGGAUUUGUUCCGGAGGCAAUUACUUAUAGCACUCUUAUUCACGGGUUAUAUCAAGUUGGCUUUCUUAAUGCUGCUCCAAAACUUCUCCAAGAGAUGAUUUCAGAAUGUACAGUUGAUGAACAUGGGGCUUCGACCAAGAACAACGACGAUUGGUCCUUCUAUGUGAUGCAAUCAAGUACACUAGGCUAACCUUCACCUGAAGAUCUAGUUAUAUAUAUAGAAUCUUAAUUUGGAAAACGAUUUGAACACAAACAACACACACAAAGAUCUUGUUCAAGAUUAAAGAAUGAAAAUCAGCUAGUGAUCUUGUGCUAUUUGUGGAUUGCACAUAUUCUUGGGGAUUAGUCUUGUCAUUCCAUAUGCCAUGGAUAUCAAGGUUCAAAAAAAAUUCUUAUUAGUUUUUUUACUUUUUAUUGUACACAAGUGUGAUGUUUUUAAUCUUAUCUAGGUGAUUUUUCCGUACUCAUGCAUGGGUAUAAAUAUUUACAAAAUAAAUAUAUUAUAAUAAUUGAUUGUUAUUUAUUUUUAAUUUUAAAUUAAUUUAUAAUUGUAUGCAUAAUUUAUAUUAGUAAUAUUGUAUUACUUUAAUUAGACAUAUGAUUUUAGAUAUGUUAUAUUCAGUUGGUUUUGUUGUUUUUAGAAUCGAUAUAGUUAUCAUUUGGAAAUAUUUGAUUGCAUUUAUUUCUCUGAAUUCAACAAUAAUAUUAUUUUUUUAAUUUUAAAUAUAUUAAAAUUAUGAUUAAUUUUCUUAUUUUCGUUUACGUUGGUUGUUGGCUUAGAUUUGUAAAUAUAUUUGAGGAAGAUUAUGUAUAACUUAAGAUAUAUUGGUCUUAGAAUGUAAUAAAAAAUAAACUAAAAUGUCUGAUUCCAAAUUAUGUAAAUUAAUAUAACGAUAAUAUUCUACAGUCCCAUGCAUAUAUAUAAAUUUUAUAAAAUAACUAAAUUAUAACAAUUGGUUAAUAUUUUAUUU